rnacentral:lncRNA from 1 species
UUCUCGUCCGGCGUAUCUGAAAUGUUUCAGAAGCCAGCUUUGGUGAGCAUCACUUCAAGACCCUUGAGCCUUGACUCCAUCGGCAGCAUCACACAGACAAAGAAGAGACAAAACUCAUGACUUCCACCAAGGACCGGCCCAUCGGUGGCUGUUUUUGGACGUCAAGAAGCAACGUCAGGACAACGUUGUCACCAAGGUAAGAGGU